rnacentral:rRNA from 1 species
GGGGCAGCGGGGUUGUAGCAAUACAACUGCCGGCUACCGGCGCACGGGUGAGUAACACGUAUGUAACCUGCCCUCUGCAGGGGGAUAAGCGGAAGAAAUUCCGUCUACUACCGCAUAAUACAAUUUGGAGACAUCUCCGGGUUGUCAAAGGAGUGAUCCGGCAGAGGAUGGACAUGCGGCGCAUUAGCUAGUCGGCGGGGUAACGGCCCACCGAGGCUACGAUGCGUAGGGGUUCUGAGAGGAAGGUCCCCCACACUGGUACUGAGACACGGACCAGACUCCUACGGGAGGCAGCAGUGAGGAAUAUUGGUCAAUGGGCGGAAGCCUGAACCAGCCAAGUCGCGUGAGGGAAGACGGUCCUAUGGAUUGUAAACCUCUUUUGCAGGGGAGCAAGGCGCGGUACGUGUACCGCGAAGGAGAGUACCCUGAGAAAAAGCAUCGGCUAACUCCGUGCCAGCAGCCGCGGUAAUACGGAGGAUGCGAGCGUUAUCCGGAUUUAUUGGGUUUCAAGGGUGCGCAGGCGGACUGUUAAGUCAGCGGUAAAAAUGUCGGUGCUCAACACCGGCCGGCCGUUGA